rnacentral:lncRNA from 1 species
GGGGUCCCUUUUUAUAGAUGAAGAGCGUAACUGAUUGACAGCGACGUCUGUAACCGCCUGGUAGUGAACCGUUCAGGACCACACGGAGUUUGUUACGGAGAGUAGUGGCGUCAGGGGCCAUUCAGGGCCAUGUGGAGUUUGUUAUAGAGAGUGGAGUGGUGUCCGUUGUCGCGACUUGCCAGAGAGUGGUGGAGCCACGUGGAAUCUAUUACAGAGAGUGGAGUAGAGUAGUGACCAUUGUCGUGACUUGCCGGAGAGUUC